AGCGAACGUUUGCGGCGGGCUUAACACAUGCAAGUCGAACGGGCUAGUUCCCUUCGGGGGCGAAGUCGAGUGGCGGCACGGGUGCGUAACACCGUAAGGGUAAUACAACCCUACGGUGGUUGGGGGAUAACACUUCGAAAGGAGUGCUAAUACCCGGUAUGGCGCAGCGGUCUUCGGAUCGCGGCGAGAAAGACCCGCAAGGGUUGCCAGAGGACGAGCCUGCGGCCCAUCAGCUAGUUGGCGAGGUAACGGCUCACCAAGGCGAAGACGGGUAGCUGGUCUGAGAGGAUGAUCAGCCACACUGGAACUGAGACACGGUCCAGACUCCUACGGGAGGCAGCAGUGGGGAAUCUUGCGCAAUGGGCGAAAGCCUGACGCAGCCACGCCGCGUGAGCGAUGAAGGUCUUAGGAUCGUAAAGCUCUGUGGGGGGGAGAAGAACAAAGCCGGUGAAGAGCCGGCCCUGACGGUAUCCCCUUAGCAAGCACCGGCUAACUCCGUGCCAGCAGCCG
rnacentral:rRNA from 1 species